rnacentral:rRNA from 1 species
GCCAGCAUCCUAGCCGAAGCGCGGACCUCAGUCCCGGCUGGCCGUAUUACACCCUGGGCUAUAACACCUCCACCGAAGUGGAGGCCACAUUCCCAGAGCCUUUAUCCGGCCGCCGAAACUGAUGCUGGCCUGUCCAAACUGAGUAAACCGGUCAGAAGACCGGCCGAACAGUUUAAACAAGUCUGAUUGCAAGCGCUUCCCUUUCAACAAUUUCACGUGCUUUUUAACUCUCUUUCCAAAGUGCUUUUCAUCUUUCGAUCACUCUACUUGUGCGCUAUCGGUCUCUCGCCAAUAUUUAGCUUUAGAAGAAAUUUACCUCCCAUUUAGAGCUGCAUUCCCAAACAACUCGACUCGUCGAAGGAGAUUUACAUAGGGUGCCAUUUCCUGUCACAUACGGGAUUCUCACCCUCUAUGACGUCCUGUUCCAAGGAACUUAGACAGGCGGCUUCCCCAAAUCAUCCUCUACAAAUUACAAUGCGAACCCGAAGGCUAGCUUUCAAAUUUGAGCUGUUGCCGCUUCACUCGCCGUUACUAGGGCAAUCCCUGU